GGCUGCACCUGUAGCAUAUGGAGUUUCCCAGGCUAGGGGUACAACUGGAGCUACAGCUGCCAGCCAACGCCACAGCCACAGCAAUGUAGGUUCUGUGACACAUCUGCAAUCUACACCACAGUUCAUGGCAACACUGGAUCCCCGACCCACUGAGAGAGGGAUCGAACCCACAACCUCAUGAUUACUAGUUGGAUUCAUUUCUGCUGUGCCACAAGGGGAACUCCUGAUUGCCUAAUGUAUUUAUAACUGCACCUGUUUCCAAAAAGAAUUCAGAACAGUGAACUAUGAAAACAUAAAUACAAUAAAGCCUAAGCACAAUGAAUACAAAGCAAAAGACUGAGUCUUAACACUCCUAUACAUAUGCUGUUUUCUACUUCCUAGCAUCUAUUUCUUUCUUCUACUAGAAUUUUUUACUAUUUAUUUAUUAAUUCACUUUUAUUUUCUUUUUAGUGCCACAUGUGUAACAUAUGGAAGUUCCCAGGUUAGAGGUCAAAUCAGAGCUGCAGCUGCAGGCCUAUACCAUAGCCACGGCAACACCAGAUGUAGGCUAUAUCUGUGAACUAUGCCACAGCUUGAGGCAAUGCUGGAUCUUUAACCCACCCAUCAAAGGCCAGGGAUCAAAUCAGCAUCCUCACAGACACUGUUUCAGGUUCUUAACCUACUGUGCUACAACAGGAACUCCUAAUUUUAUUUUAAAUUUAAUUUUAAUUUUUUUUGCCACACCAAGGGCAUAUGGACAUCCCUGGGCAAGGGAUCAAACUUGUGCCACAGCAGUGUUGUUGGAUCCUUAACCUGCUGAGCCAUCAGGGAACUCCCUAAUUUUUAAAAAAAAGUUAUUUUAUUGAAGUAUAGUUGAAUAAAUUGAAAAAAAGUAUAGUUGAUUUACAAUGUUGUGUUAAUUUCUGCUGUACAGCAAAGCAAUUCAGUUAUACAUAUAUACACAUUUUUUUCAUACUUUUUUUCCAUUAUGAUCACAGGCUACUGAAUACAGUUCCCUGGAUAUAUGAGAGGACCUUGUUGUUUAUCCACCUUCCACCCUAAUUUUUAUUCCACUCCUCUCCACAGGCCAUGGGCUUCAGAGGAAGAUAACUCUAGCUCCUAAACUAGACUCAUACUGAACAAAAUCCAUCCCCACAUCCUGCUCCACAAUUGGUUGUGAGUGGGCAUGUCCCUAAAUUUGCCUGAGCAAUGUAAAGCUGAGGGAUGUGCUCAACCACAUACCUGAAACUUCCGGUAGUCAUCUUGGGAUGUGAGGGGAAAAGCCCAUCCAAGGCUGGAGCGAACCAAGAGAAGCCCGGACUGAGACUGGUUUAUCAUCACGUCCUUUGAAAUCAAAAUCAAACCAAAAAAAUAUGCAGAUGGCAGAUAAGCAUGUGAAAAGAUCCUCCACAACAUAUAGAAAAGCAAAUUAAAACAACGAGAGACCACUAUUCACCUAUUAGAAUGGCAGAAACCCAGAACACUGAAAACACCAAAUGCUGACAAGGAUGCAGAGCAUCCACUUUGCUAGUGGGGAUGAAAGUAGUAUAUGGCCACUUUGGAAGACAGUUUCACAUUUUCUUACAAAACUAAACUUCUGGAGCUCCUGUCAUGGCUCAGGGAAACGAAGGUCACAGAGCACAUAAUGCAGUAGAGCUGGGUUUGGAUUCAAGCAGUCUGGUCCAGAUAUGAUCUUGCACGAACUGAACUAUGCUACCCCCCCAAAGAUUAGAAAACGGCAAAGAAGGAAUCAGAAAACUGCUUUAAGAAAAUAUAGUUAGGAGUUCCCAUUUUGGUGCAGUGGAAAUGAAUCCAACUAGCAUCCAUGAGGAUGUGAGUUUGAUCCCUUCCCUCGAUCAGUGGGUCAGGGAUCUGGUGUUGCCAUGAGCUGUGGUAUAGGUCACAGACUCAGCCUGGAUCCUGAGUUGCUAUGGCUGUGGUAUAGGCCGGCAGCUGCAGCUCCUAUUCGAUCCCUAGCCUGGGAAUCUCCAUAUACUGCAGGUGUGCCCCUAAAAAGACAAAAAAAAAAAAAAAAAAAAAAAA
rnacentral:lncRNA from 1 species